GAUGAACGCUGGCGGCGUGCCUAAUACAUGCAAGUCGAGCGAACAGACGAGGAGCUUGCUCCUCUGACGUUAGCGGCGGACGGGUGAGUAACACGUGGAUAACCUACCUAUAAGACUGGGAUAACUUCGGGAAACCGGAGCUAAUACCGGAUAAUAUAUUGAGCCGCAUGGUUCAAUAGUGAAAGACGGUUUUGCUGUCACUUAUAGAUGGAUCCGCGCCGCAUUAGCUAGUUGGUAAGGUAACGGCUUACCAAGGCAACGAUGCGUAGCCGACCUGAGAGGGUGAUCGGCCACACUGGAACUGAGACACGGUCCAGACUCCUGCGGGAGGCAGCAGUAGGGAAUCUUCCGCAAUGGGCGAAAGCCUGACGGAGCAACGCCGCGUGAGUGAUGAAGGUCCUCGGAUCGUAAAACUCUGUUAUUAGGGAAGAACAAAUGUGUAAGUAACUAUGCACGUCUUGACGGUACCUAAUCAGAAAGCCACGGCUAACUACGU
rnacentral:rRNA from 1 species